GACGCUUGCGCAGGGCUCUGCGCUUUUCCUUGACGUCAGGGCCUCCUGCCGCAGCCUUUGUUGGCGCGGAUCUUCACGCCCUCCGCCUUCUAUAGCAGAUUGGUCAACUCCAUCUUGGCCUCCAGCUCCUGGGCUUCGUGCAUGUUCUGCUCCCGCAGCUCUUCCAGCCUGGAAAUACCCAGCAGCCACCGGUCAGAUUCCUCUUCACCUGUACCUCUUCCAUCCCACUCCAACUGUCUCCCGCCUUUUCUCCAAGGCAGUGGCCGACAGCUCCAUGGUACCGCUCUGGCCCCAGUCCUCCUAGAUCUAAACGUGCAGCCACUAAGGCAGGACAUGCAGGGCAGAGAGAGCCAGGCCCUGUGGCCAGGCCAUUUGCGGGAGCUCUUGUGGAACUGGGAGUCUUCUCCUCUGUGGCCACCUCUCGCUUUUUGCUCCCAAACAAGUUGGAGACUUCUCCCCCGAGGACUUGACUGUGUGCUUUGCAGCCUUCACUUUCUUCUCUCCCGUAAUUUCUUGUGUUUUCUUUGUGGAGGCCCAACGGUUUCUGAGCUUUGAGUUUUACCAGCCCAUUUGGGAUUCUAUGGAGUGGCCCUGCAGGUAGGCAUCUUUGGCAAGCCUGGCGGCCAUGACUGCAGGUUCAGGCACAGGGCUCGCUGGGCACACAAGAAUUCCACAGGAGGGAGGCAGAAGCCUAAUGCCCAGAUGCCUGCCGCCUGCUGUCACUACUGGCUGGAAACCAUCACAUGGGCAGGCACCGCCAGCUGAACCAGAGCCCAGCUUUAGACCUUUUAACUUUAAAAUGCCUGCUAGAUAUUUGAGUCAAAAUUCUAGGUGGGCAUUGGAGAUAUGAAUAUGGAUUUCAGGGAAAGAAACAAGGCAGGCAUUUGAAUAUUGGUGAAGGCAAUGAUCUCAACCACAAGGUACACUAGCUUCAUACUUAGGUAGAUCUAAUGACCUUCACCAAACACUGUGAAAAGAGUGUAUAGGACAGCAAGAGAGGGCUAUAGGGAAAAAAGUUGUCUAGUAGACAACAUUAUUAAAAAUGCUUCCAAUGCUGCUUAUCAGGGAAGCAGCUAGUUAGAAAAUACAUUUGCUAUGGAAUGCUAGCCCCCUGGAGAAAUGAGAUAGUGCCUAUUUAAACAUCUUAAGGGUAUCAGAUGCUAAGGUGUAGUAACUUGCAAUCAAUACCUGUAAUUUGAUGAGUAGGUAACCAAAUCCACCCACCUGAAUCCAAUCUUUUAUUUUUCAUUAUGGACUAGACUGAAAAAACAACAAGUUUUUAACCUAUCAAUGCAGGUGAAACACAGAAUUUGAUCUUUGGUAAAUCUUAAAACAUAAUACAAAAGGGAGAUAGUUUGAAGGCCCAGAAAGAAGCCCAGCUGUUGAGCCAGGACACAUUCUUAGAGCCAGAGCCAACAGAAACACUGACAUUCUUACACAUUGAACAAUGCUCAGCUUCCUUCCCUGGGGAUCCACUGCUCCUAGAUCCAAGGCCUAAGUCUCUGCCUCCCAGAUGGCACAGCCACAAGCCCAUCUUUGAUAUGGGCCAGGGUCAAAGUUUUGCAGACAAUUUCAGAAAGACCUAAUUAUCUUGAACAUUAUCCUCAAACUUCUUAAAUUCCUCCCAGAAAAAGUCUGAAAAAAGCAUGAAUUUUUGGAAAGUUGCUGUAAUUUUCAGAGAUUUAUCCAUCAUUUUAUUCAAGGUGACCAGAAAGAGAAUUGCAGAGAAAACAUUUCUGAUCAUGGCUGAGCUGCUAAAGAAACAUGGACAAUUGACUAUCUCUAUAGGUUUCUAGUAAUGUGGGAAAAAAACUGAGAAGACUGGAGUUUGGAAAACUUUCAGGUGGAAAACAUGCAGAUGUGCUGGGCGAGCGGUUCUCCUUGGUAAGAUGUGAGAGCACAGUGCCUUUCCCUUAUAAUUUGCCCUGUGCCCCUCUUCUAUUUGGCUGUUUAUUAAUUGUAUUCUUUAUAAUAAACAGGUAAACAAAAGCAUUUCCUUGUAUUUUGUGAGCCAUGGUAGCAAAUUAUUAAACAUGAGGAAGAAGUCAUGGGAACCCCCAAACUGUGAACAAGUUGGACAUCUAUAUAGAUAGGUCAGUGGCCCACAAUUUGACAUUGGUGGCUGAAGUAGGGAGCAGAGUUAUGACACUGAGCUCUUAGCCUGUGGGAUAUGCACUAAGCCUAGAUGGUAUCACACUUGAAUUGUAUUAAUCCAGUUGGCAACUGGAGAGCUGGAGAAUUGGUCCAUGUGGAAAUUCUCCUAUAUAUGCAAAUAUCUGAGGUCAGAAAUGAAGUACUGAGAGUAUAAUGAAGUGCUGUGUAUUUAAAUUAGAAAGAGAUGCAAGUUCUUUCAGAAAGAAAUGCAAGUUCUUUCAGAGGAGAAAGCAAAGUUUCCUUUAUAGAGGCAAAAUCAAAAUGGCAUUAAAUACAAAACUUUAAAACUCUUAAAUCCAAAUUUAAACUAUCAGUCACUGGCUGACAUUACACAGGACAGUUACAGAUAACAGUAAUUUCACUGGAUUCUCAUAAAAAUGAAACAUUUUGAUGCUGGCCUUGUGGAACAGCAGGUUACACUGAAAA